UGCUAGCCCUGAUAGUAGUGGAAAUCCUUUGCUAUGGUGCUAACCAAUAGCAAAGAUUGCAGCGAAUAGCAGGACAGAAG
rnacentral:sRNA from 1 species